UCAAUUUUGAGCCUCCUUUUUAACAUUUUCACCAACCACAAAAAAAAACUAGCCUCCCACCGAGUAAUCGUUAAGCGCCUCUGUGAAGUGCGAAAUGGAACCUCCGAAGGACCAACACACGCCUGAGAAAUCAUCCACCGACCCACCUUCAUCCGCCUACCCUCCCUCCGGUUGCUGCACUAACUGCGGCGGUCCAACGAUCUCCGAACCUUCACCUCUAGCAUCACUUCCCGAGAUGUCACCGCCCCCAAACUACCGCCCAAUCCGAGCUCCAGCCAUCAACCUCCCUCACAACUCCCAAGCGAUCAUCCUCUCCCCCGUCCCUCACGCCGAGCAAGUCCCCGUCCUCUCUCCGCCGUACCAAUUCGAGCGUCCCGUCAAGAGAAUCCACUCCCCGGACGAUAUCCGCCGCUUCCAGGAAUCCCCCUCUUUCAAGAACUUCUUAGGAUUCGUAGUCUCUCUCUCCGAAUCGAUCCGCGGACACAAAAUCUCCGACCCUUGCCUCGUCUCCACCGCAACGAACCCCUUUGGUAAUGGUUAUUACCAGGGCCCACAAAACGCACCGCUUGAAGCUGCGUCCGCGUGUCCUGGUGUUUAUGGGAAAGGAGCUUAUCCUGGUUACGCUGGAAAUUUACUUGUCGAUGCUACGACGGGAGGUAGUUUUAAUGCGUAUGGUGCAAACGGCAGGAAGUUCUUGCUACCUGCGUUGUAUGAUCCUACAACGUCGGAUUGCUCUACUAUGGUUUGAGGAAGAAAAAAUAUGUUUAAUGUUUCAUCUUUUUGUUUUGUAGUAGAAAACGAUACUAUUAUUCUAGUGUAAUUCUUUUAUUUUAUUCAUUAAUAUUAUUCUGAGUUCUCUUAUUGUUGUAUGAUUUUCAUAUUUUUAUAUGCAAAUUAUUCAAAAUCGAAAAGACUUCUAUUUUGUUAGUUAUAUUCCUUGUUCGAAACUUGCUAGGCAGAAAUAUGAGUACAAAAGUGACGUCCAAGCCUAGAAGGUUUAUAUAUUGAAACAUGAAAUCGUGCCAAAUGUGUAUCUUGUAAUGGUUUUAAUUUUUUGAUGUGCUAUGAUUUGUGUAGAGCUUUGAAUCAGUUUAACGUUGUUUUAGACGUAUUCCAAUCUAAAUUAUUUUAGCCUGGACUUAACGAAACAAUUGUAGCAAAAAAACAUUUAACUAACUAAACAAAAACAAUGUAACUAAAGAAGUAAAAAUGAAAAAACAAUGGAUAGUAUAAACACAUAAUUUAAUUGUAGUAUAAACACAUAAUUUAAUUGUAAGCAGCCAAACCAAAGAUAGAACCAAGAAAUUGCAACAACUUCAACAAAAAAGGGAGAGUGGUUGAUUAAUAAUGAGAAAGUCUUUUCGGUGGUUUCCCAACUUCGACGAGUGUAAUCGCGUGAUGGUCAUGUGAUCAUUUUGGAAUUUGGAUGCCUUAGUUGGCGGUGAUCGGUAGGGACGGUUUGGUAACGUACGCGGUUCUGGUCUCCUGCCAACAUUUUCAAUUUCUAAUUUUCUAUUAUCAAAAUCUUUGUCCCACACUUAUUUAUUAGGGUGAAUUGGUUUAAAACCCUAAAAAAAUGAAAAUAUCUAUGAUGUGGCUAGUUUGUGUCUAUGAAAAAAAGUAUCGCAUUGUGGAAUUUAGGGAGAGUAUUUGGUUAAUUAGGAUAAAAGUCUAUGGAGUGCAAUUUUCCUAUUUAUAUUUAUUAUCCUUGUAAUGUAAAGAUAGGGCAGCAUCGUGCACUACCUAGGCUUGGACUCAAACCGGACAUUUGGUUUAUUUGCCCUACCCGCUACCUGACUUGUUUUGUGUAAGUAUUAGAAGUUUUUAUUUGUACUUGUACUUGAUCCAAUAAGUACUUAGUUAAUUAAAGGGAAAUCACAUUUUAGGUACUUGUUUAAAUACUUGCAAAUUACUUAAUAAUAUUUGAUAUUUAUUUAUUUAAAUUAACUUUAAAAUUAAAUAUCCUAAAACUUAUAAGCAUGGUUUUUUUGUCAACUUUUUCUUAUAAACCCAAAUGGGUAAACGAGUAGAAGUACAAACUAAAACCCAUAUAAAAGCCCAAUAUUAUCUUGAUACAGAAAGAUACAAACAUGUGUUAAGACAGAUGAAACUUAGACUUUAUCCAAAACAACACAUGCAGAGUCUAUGGUAGAAAUUUAUAUUUACUCUUUAAUAAAAAAAAUUUUGUCAUUUUUUUUUAUGGUUCUAUGAAAACAAACUAAAAAAACAAUCCUAGAAAAUUUCUCUAUUUUCAAAAUACAUAAUUAUUUAAAUAUAUAAUAAACAAUUUUUAUUAUUAUUUUGAAUAAUAUGUUUUUGAAUUUGAUUUUUUUUAACUUUUUCAAAAAAUAAUAUUUAAAAAUCCAAAAAAUUCUUGUUGAAACUAUUUUUAGAAUUUUCUUAUUUUUUUUUAUAUUUUCUAAGAUUUACUUUUUAUUCUUAAAAAAUCUUUAUCCCAUCGCCAAACCCCGCAAAUUAUUUUUAUAACAAAAAAUUUAAAAAAUUUAUUUAAAAAAAUUAUCCUUUGAUCUUUAUAAACUAUAGUUAUAUUAAUUUUUUCUUAAGAUUAUCCUAAUCUUUUUAUUGUCAUUGCUACUAAUUUUCCAUGUUAAAACCCAAGAUCAAUGUUUUAAUUAAACUAUUGUGAAACCUUAAAUUAUGAAAUAUUAAUAUUAUGUUAAGAACUAAUAUAAGUUUUUCAAAUUAUAAAACAUUAAAACUUAGUUUCGUAAUAACGAAAAAUUCAAUAGGUUUUUCUACCAGUAAGUUAUGUAUGCCAUCUCAAUUUUGAGCCUCCUUUUUAACAUUUUCACCAACCACAAAAAAAAACUAGCCUCCCACCGAGUAAUCGUUAAGCGCCUCUGUGAAGUGCGAAAUGGAACCUCCGAAGGACCAACACACGCCUGAGAAAUCAUCCACCGACCCACCUUCAUCCGCCUACCCUCCCUCCGGUUGCUGCACUAACUGCGGCGGUCCAACGAUCUCCGAACCUUCACCUCUAGCAUCACUUCCCGAGAUGUCACCGCCCCCAAACUACCGCCCAAUCCGAGCUCCAGCCAUCAACCUCCCUCACAACUCCCAAGCGAUCAUCCUCUCCCCCGUCCCUCACGCCGAGCAAGUCCCCGUCCUCUCUCCGCCGUACCAAUUCGAGCGUCCCGUCAAGAGAAUCCACUCCCCGGACGAUAUCCGCCGCUUCCAGGAAUCCCCCUCUU
rnacentral:lncRNA from 1 species